GGUCCGCUGGCUCAAUGGCAGAGCGUCUGACUACGAUGUUAUCAAGGAUGCACUUAAAUACGCCUUAAUAUCAGUUAUCAGGAGGUUCCAGGUUCGACCCCUAGGUGGAUCG